CUGCAGCUCAAGUGGUGACCACUAUUGUUGGGCCUAAAACGUUCGUAGCCGGUUUGGUAAAUGCCUGGGUAAAUCGUGUAGCUUAACUAUACGAAUUCCGGGUAGACUGCCAAACUUGAGACCGGGAGAAGCUAGAGGUACUCCUGGGGUAGAGGUGAAAUUCUGUAAUCCUGGGGGGACCACCAGUGGCGAAGGCGUCUAGCUAGAACGGGUCUGACGGUGAGGAACGAAGCCCUGGGGCGCAAACCGGAUUAGAGACCCGCGUAGUCC
rnacentral:rRNA from 1 species